GGGGCUGUAGCUCAUUUGGUAGAGCGCUCGCUUCGCAUGCGAGAGGUACUGUGUUCGACUCCCAGCUGCUCCA